rnacentral:rRNA from 1 species
CCUACCUGCCCAGUGGACUAUUUGNCCAACGGCCGCGGUAUCUUGACCGUGCUAAGGUAGCGAAAUCACUUGUCUUUUAAAUGAGGACCUGUAUGAAUGGUGGAACGAGGGCUUAACUGUCUCCUUUUUCAAGUCAGUGAAAUUGAUCUGCCCGUGCAGAAGCGGACAUAAACAUACAAGACGAGAAGACCCUUUGGAGCUUAAGACAUAUAGUCAACUGUGUUAAAAGUUCUACUCAAAAAAAUUAAACAAAACAAUAACUGACUCUGCGUCUUCGGUUGGGGCGACCGCGGGGGAAAACAAAGCCCCCACGUAGAAUGGGAUACUCCCUAAAACCAAGAGAAACAUCUCUAAGUCACAGAACCUCUGACUAAAAGAUCCGGCGCAUGCCGAUCGACGAACCAAGUUACCCUAGGGAUAACAGCGCAAUCCCCUCCAAGAGCCCGUAUCAACAAGGGGGUUUACGACCUCGAUGUUGGAUCAGGACAUCCUAAUGGUGCAGCCGCUAUUAAGGGUUCGUUUGUUCAACGAUUAAAGUCCU